ACAGUACAAACUGAGCAGGCACUGAAUCAUGAUUCAUUCGUAUUCAGAAAGCCGGGCCGCUGAUGCGGCAACAGAUCAUUCGAUAGAUAAACUUCGAUAUCUGUGGGACAGU
rnacentral:ncRNA from 1 species